GCACUGCUGAGGGGUCCCACGACUGGACGAAACGACCGUCCAGUGC
rnacentral:hammerhead_ribozyme from 1 species